rnacentral:tmRNA from 1 species
GGGGCUGACCGGUUUUGACAGCGUAGAUCUUUGAAAGUAAGCAUGCAGUGCGUUGCGUAUGUUGCACUUUAAUCUGAAUACGAAAACCACAAAUGGCGAGAAUACUUACGCCAUGGCUGCCUAAUCAGAGAUUAGCGCAUCCAUUAUAGCCGGCUGACGGGCCUUCCUUUGCCAAGUCACCCCGCUGAAUCAAAAAAAACAAGGAUGCUUCAACCGAAGGCUGUGACGGUUGAUCAAGACCAUUCAGCUACGGAUCCGGUUGGUUUGCUCAGCUCCUGCCAGUUCUCGACAAUCAAUGCUGAAAUAAGCAUGUAGAAAGCUUUCCGGGAAUAUGUUUGGACGUGGGUUCGAAUCCCACCAGCUCCACCA